AUACGUAGGUGGCAAGCGUUGUUCGGAUUUACUGGGUGUAAAGGGCGUGUAGGCGGAGAUGCAAGUCAGGAGUGAAAUCUAGGGGCUCAACCCCUAAACUGCUUUUGAAACUGUAUCCCUUGAGUAUCGGAGAGGCAGGCGGAAUUCCUAGUGUAGCGGUGAAAUGCGUAGAUGUUAGGAGGAACACCAGUGGCGAAGGCGGCCUGCUGGACGACAACUGACGCUGAGGCGCGAAAGCGUGGGGAGCAAACAGGAUUAGAUACCCUGGUAGUCCACGCUGUAAACGAUGAAUACUAGGUGUGGGGGGACUGACCCCCUCCGUGCCGCAGUUAACACAAUAAGUAUUCCACCUGGGGAGUACGAUCGCAAGAUUGAAACUCAAAUGAAUUGACGGGG
rnacentral:rRNA from 1 species